rnacentral:rRNA from 1 species
UACGAAGGGGGCGAGCGUUGUUCGGAAUUACUGGGCGUAAAGGGCGCGCAGGCGGUCCUUCAAGUCAGAUGUGAAAGCCCCGGGCUCAACCUGGGAACUGCAUUUGAGACUGGAGGACUUGAGGACGGGAGAGGAGAGUGGAAUUCCCAGUGUAGAGGUGAAAUUCGUAGAUAUUGGGAAGAACACCGAUGGCGAAGGCAGCUCUCUGGACCGUUACUGACGCUGAUGCGCGAAAGCUAGGGGAGCAAACAGG